GAGUAUAAAAUCAAUCGUUAAAACUUUCAACAACGGAUCUCUUGGUUCCGGCAUCGAUGAAGAACGCAGCGAAAUGCGAUAAGUAAUGUGAAUUGCAGAAUUCCGUGAAUCAUCGAAUCUUUGAACGCACAUUGCGCCCCCUGGCAUUCCGGGGGGCA
rnacentral:rRNA from 1 species